rnacentral:sRNA from 1 species
GCUGGGCGUGGUGGCAUACACCUGUAAUCCCAGCAGCUGGGGAGGCUGAGUCAGGAGGAUUGCAAGCUCAAAACCAGCCUUGGUGAUUUAGGGAAGUCCUAAGCAACUCAGUGAGACCCUGUCUCUA